GUCUGCCCGCUCUCCUGCCUGCAGGGCCCGCCAGCCUGAGCUGCUCGCUGUCCUGCCUGCAGGGCCCGCCUGCCGGGGUUGCCCUCUAAGCUGCCUACAGGGCCGGCCUGCCGGGGCUGCCCGCUGUACGUCCUUCAGGCCCAGCUGGGAGGCUCAGCUGGCACUGGGGCCUGCAUGCCGGGCCUGUCUGCUGUCUGGUCUUCGUUUUUGGUUCUCUUCAUUUGGUUUAUAAAUUUGAGUUAAUAUUUGGAGCCAUUUUCUCAACCCAAUACAGCUUUGCUCCCAUGACCUCCUUCGUACUCUUAUUGGUGAACACAUUACAUUUAUAUAUGGUACAGGAAGAAGAAUGCAUUGUAUAUAUGCAGUUUUAUACAACUGCUUUCUACAUCGGUUAAGAGAAGAAAAUAGAAGAAUGUGCACUUAUACUGCCUUUUGUAGUUUCAUAUUUACCUUUUAUGGUGCCCUAUGUUUUUUGUGUGUGAUUUUGAUUUACUGUCUGGGAUCACUUGCUUCCAGCCUGAUGAAUUUCUCUUUUGAUUUCUUAUGAGGCAGAUAUUCCAGCGACAUAUUCUUUCAGUUUUGUUAAUCUGGGUCAACAAGAGGAGCUUAGUACUCCACACAAUGACUUAGGAA
rnacentral:lncRNA from 1 species